UUAUCGUGUGGCCAGGGAACACAUUCCCUUCAUUUCCCUCCUCUUUCCAGGUGAUAACCUUCUCAGCACCUCCGGGAGCAUAUUGGCAGAGUUACCCACUGACCGCAUUGUUUUACGGAGGGAGAGAGAAAUAUCAUUGAGAUCUUAUUACUACCUGGGGCAGCUUGGUUUUCAUUUGGAGGAUUGUUGAACAUGCUUCUCACUUUCUUUAAACCCAGUCUUGUUUUUUCUCUCUGAUUAUAUUUGAUUCAGUGCAGCCUUGCAAAUAUAUAUUUAUGUACACAUAUGCUGUGAGCGCUGAUUUCUUCUCCUUGUGGAAAGCAAUAUGUUCCCAUCUCUCUUGGUCCUUUUCCCUCUGGAAGCUUAGGUGUUUUCCCUUCUAGUCACUGUCUCAGAAUCCAGCAAAACCUCUUGCCCACCGCUGAUUCUCCUGGUGGGCUAGGAAGACAUAGGCUCUGGUGAUGCCAGGCAGUAAGUUGGCACGAUCCCCCACCCCCACUUAUCAUAGCCGUGUGCCUUUUGGUGCAUCAGCCAACUUUCUAGAACCUGUUUCCUCUGCUGUACAGGUGGUGAUUGUGACGAUGAGAUAGGAACAUAAUGUUUGGCUCAGCCCAGGGAUGCGGUGGGUGCCCACGUUAGUUUCCCACAUCCUCGCCGCUUUCCUUCCACCGUAGAACUUGCUAUCAAAUCUGUUUGUAAAACCUGUGUUAGGGUGCAUUCCUGUUCCUUUAUUCCUUCCAGUAGCCCUUGGAGAGAAGCAUUAUCCCCAUUUUCCCAGUGGGCAGUCGGUGGCUCUGAGAGCUAAGUGCUGUGCUCAUUAGUGACCCAGCUCUCCUGGCAUUUCUCGUUCUGUGUGCUUUGUGACAGCCUUUUGUGGCCCACUGUGCCAGGCGCGCAUCCCCUCUCCUAGCCCUAGAGUAGGGGUCUGGGACAGCCAAGCUGGCUGUGACUUGGUAGGCAGUUCCUGUGCCUGAGCACCCCUCCCCAUUCCUGCUGAAAACUCCUGCUUAGAUCACCCUGCACUCGUCGCAGAUUUUCCCUCCUUAUCUGCACCACCCGGAUCAUGGGCGCCAUAAAAGCUACCGAGGAAAGAAAUGACGGAACCAUCUAGACCUUAAAGACACAGUCACCAAUUCAUUCCUCCCUUUGGGCAUACCCAGCAGCCGGUGCAACUCCAUUCCACCAGACAGUUCCUAGGCAUUCACACAAGUAGAUGGUGUUUACCCAGACAGCUCAAGCC